rnacentral:rRNA from 1 species
CGGCGACGGGUGAGUAACACGUGGAUAACCUACCUAUAAGACUGGGAUAACUUCGGGAAACCGGAGCUAAUACCGGAUAAUAUAUUGAACCGCAUGGUUCAAUAGUGAAAGACGGUUUUGCUGUCACUUAUAGAUGGAUCCGCGCCGCAUUAGCUAGUUGGUAAGGUAACGGCUUACCAAGGCGACGAUGCGUAGCCGACCUGAGAGGGUGAUCGGCCACACUGGAACUGAGACACGGUCCAG